rnacentral:rRNA from 1 species
AGAUUGAACGCUGGCGGCAGGCCUAACACAUGCAAGUCGAGCGGUAGAGGGUGCUUGCAUCUCUUGAGAGCGGCGGACGGGUGAGUAAUGCCUAGGAAUCUGCCUAGUGGUGGGGGAUAACGUUCGGAAACGGACGCUAAUACCGCAUACGUCCUACGGGAGAAAGCGGGGGACCUUCGGGCCUCGCGCCAUUAGAUGAGCCUAGGUCGGAUUAGCUAGUUGGUGAGGUAAUGGCUCACCAAGGCCGACGAAUCCGUAACUGGUCUGAGAGGGACUGAUCAGUCACACUGGAACUGGAGACACGGUCCAGACUCCUAGGGAGGCAGCAGUGGGAAUAGUUGGACAAUGGGCGAAAGCCUUAGACUACCGAGCCAGUCGCCGCGUCGUGUAGAAGAAGGUCGUUCGGAGUUAGAAGUACGUAACGUUUAAGGUUACGGUAAGGUAAGGGUUUA